rnacentral:rRNA from 1 species
AGGACGAACGCUGGCGGCGUGCUUAACACAUGCAAGUCGAGCGGAAAGGCCCUUCGGGGUACUCGAGCGGCGAACGGGUGAGUAACACGUGAGCAACCUGCCCCUGGCUCUGGGAUAGCCUCCGGAAACGGGGAUUAAUACCGGACAUGACCCUUGACCGCAUGGUUGGGGGUGGAAAGUUUUUCGGCCAGGGUGGGGCUCGCGGCCUAUCAGCUUGUUGGGGGGGUGACGGCCCACCAAGGCGACGACGGGUA